AGUGGCGGACGGGUGAGUAACACGUAGGUAACCUGCCCCGGAGCGAGGGAUAACAUUUGGAAACAGAUGCUAAUACCGCAUAACAACAAAAGCCACAUGGCUUUUGUUUGAAAGAUGGCUUUGGCUAUCACUCUGGGAUGGACCUGCGGUGCAUUAGCUAGUUGGUAAGGUAACGGCUUACCAAGGCGAUGAUGCAUAGCCGAGUUGAGAGACUGAUCGGCCACAAUGGAACUGAGACACGGUCCAUACUCCUACGGGAGGCAGCAGUAGGGAAUCUUCCACAAUGGGCGCAAGCCUGAUGGAGCAACACCGCGUGAGUGAAGAAGGGUUUCGGCUCGUAAAGCUCUGUUGUUGGAGAAGAACGUGCGUGAGAGUAACUGUUCACGCAGUGACGGUAUCCAACCAGAAAGUCACGGCUAACUACGUGCCAGCAGCCGCGGUAAUACGUAGGUGGCAAGCGUUAUCCGGAUUUAUUGGGCGUAAAGCGAGCGCAGGCGGUUGCUUAGGUCUGAUGUGAAAGCCUUCGGCUUAACCGAAGAAGUGCAUCGGAAACCGGGCGACUUGAGUGCAGAAGAGGACAGUGGAACUCCAUGUGUAGCGGUGGAAUGCGUAGAUAUAUGGGAAGAACACCAGUGGGCGAAAGCGGCUGGUCUGGUCCUGCCAACUGACGGCUGAGGGCUCGAAAGCCAUUGGGUA
rnacentral:rRNA from 1 species